UUAUUGGGUUUAAGGGUCCGCAGGCGGACUAGUAAGUCAGGGGUGAAAUCCGGCAGCUUAACUGUCGAACUGCCUUUGAUACUGCAAGUCUUGAGUGGGAAUGAAGCAGCUGGAAUGUGUGGUGUAGCGGUGAAAUGCAUAGAUAUCACACAGAACACCGAUAGCGAAGGCAGGUUGCUAAUUCUCAACUGACGCUGAGGGACGAAAGCGUGGGGAGCGAACUGGAUUAGAUACCCUGGUAGUCCACGCCGUAAACGAUGGAUACUGUCUGUUGGGUAGUAAUAUUCAGUGGAUAAGCGAAAGUGAUAAGUAUCCCACCUGGGGAGUACGUUCGCAAGAAUGAAACUCAAAGGAAUUGACGGGGGCCCGCACAAGCGGUGGAGCAUGUGGUUUAAUUCGAUGAUACGCGAGGAACCUUACCAAGGCUUAAAUGUAUAAUGACGGGGGUGGAAACACCUUUUUCUUCGGACAGUAUGCAAGGUGCUGCAUGGCUGUCGUCAGCUCGUGCCGUGAGGUGUCAGGUUAAGUCCUAUAACGAGCGCAACCCUUAUCGCUAGUUGCCAGCGUUUCAAGACGGGGACUCUAGCGAGACUGCCAACGCAAGUUGCGAGGAAGGUGGGGACGACGUCAAGUCAUCACGGCCCUUACGUCUUGGGCGACACACGUGCUACAAUGGCCGGUACAGAGGGCAGCUACCACGCGAGUGGAUGCGAAUCUCGAAAGCCGGUCUCAGUUCGGAUUGGAGUCUGCAACUCGACUCUAUGAAGCUGGAAUCGCUAGUAAUCGGAUAUCAGCCAUGAUCCGGUGAAUACGUUCCCGGGGCC
rnacentral:rRNA from 1 species